GGGAAUGCUAUACUGGCAGUUCGAGCGAGCUUGGCUAGAUGAUUUUAGUGCUUGCACUAAAUGAAACUAGAUACAAGCGAGCGGCGGACGGGUGAGUAACACGUGGGUAACCUGCCCAAGAGACUGGGAUAACACCUGGAAACAGAUGCUAUACCGGAUAACAACACUAGACGCAUGUCUAGAGUUUGAAAGAUGGUUCUGCUAUCACUCUUGGAUGGACCUGCGGUGCAUUAGCUAGUUGGUAAGGUAACGGCUUACCAAGGCAAUGAUGCAUAGCCGAGUUGAGAGACUGAUCGGCCACAUUGGGACUGAGACACGGCCCAAACUCCUACGGGAGGCAGCAGUAGGGAAUCUUCCACAAUGGACGAAAGUCUGAUGGAGCAACGCCGCGUGAGUGAAGAAGGGUUUCGGCUCGUAAAGCUCUGUUGGUAGUGAAGAAAGAUAGAGGUAGUAACUGGCCUUUAUUUGACGGUAAUUACUUAGAAAGUCACGGCUAACUACGUGCCAGCAGCCGCGGUAAUACGUAGGUGGCAAGCGUUGUCCGGAUUUAUUGGGCGUAAAGCGAGUGCAGGCGGUUCAAUAAGUCUGAUGUGAAAGCCUUCGGCUCAACCGGAGAAUUGCAUCAGAAACUGUUGAACUUGAGUGCAGAAGAGGAGAGUGGAACUCCAUGUGUAGCGGUGGAAUGCGUAGAUAUAUGGAAGAACACCAGUGGCGAAGGCGGCUCUCUGGUCUGCAACUGACGCUGAGGCU
rnacentral:rRNA from 1 species